GGAGUAGACGCGAAACUUGGUGAUCUACCCAUGGCCAGGUUGAAGCUCCGGUAACACGGGGUGGAGGACCGAACCAGUUCACGUUGAAAAGUGUUUGGAUGAGCUGUGGGUAGGGGUGAAAGGCCAAUCAAACUGAGAAAUAGCUCGUACUCUCCGAAAUGUUUUUAGGAACAGCCUCGGAGGAUGUCUGUUAGAGGUAGAGCUACCAAUAGGACUAGGGGGAGUCAAAUCCUACC
rnacentral:rRNA from 1 species